UGCGUUGGGCCUGCUGGACCGCGCGUGUUGUUUGAAAGAGUGGGUUUCGGAGGAACGACGUCGUUCGUGUGUCGCUGCUGUCGAAGGGUUUUGCCAUAACCGUGUGUGUUACCCCAGCAACCUGGGUUCGAGGUGUGCGCAGCGGAGGAAAAGAAAUUCUAGUGAAUCGCAACGAUCUCCUCCGGUUUGUAGGAUCUGGCCAUUAUUUUCAAUAGUAAAAACGGAUCCGAAUCCAAGGGUCGGACGGUGAUCGUGGCCUCUGACAAAAUUCCGUUAUCACGGAGUGUGAGUAUAAAAAUGUGUGCCGUGUGGUUUUUGUGCGUCGGCUGAACAGAGUGAAACAAUUUUGAUUACUUUUCGGGUUACUGGAGCAAUGAAAACAACACAAAUCAAAGUGUAGCAAAAGGCAAAAAGUGAGUGCGCAAGAUUGGAGCAAAAAGAUCACAAUCAGCAAUCUUUGUAUCGGUAGCGGGAAAGGAAAGAAAUGUGUAUGCUAAUUGGUCGAGGCACGGUUAUUUAAUUAUCUGCACCGGUGGUAAUUAAUCAGUGGAAAACACAACAAACUGCACGCAGCCGCCGCAGCCGCUACCACCGGCUCCAUACGCGGCAUUUUCGAUCGAGCACCGGAUGAGCAACAACCGCCAGCAGAAGAAGAAAGCAGAUACGAAGCAAAAGUGAUCGAAUCUUCAGCGGGCAGUGAGUGAGUAUUUCACCAGUGUGAGAGCGAGAAGUCUCAAAGCACGCACAAAUUGAUGCAAAAUAGCAACAGCUUGAAUGAAAUAGCAACAGCAAAUUCAUGGUUCCGAUAGUAUCACGACGGUGGUGGUAGCUACCGAAAAGAAGUUGUGGUUGGGGUUGUGUAAAAUUAACUCACGGAGCGGCAGUGCCUACAUUGAUAGUGUUUGCAAACCUGUGCUUUAUCGUGUGAUGAUCAAGAUCGUUCGUUUUUUACCAUCAGCAUAAACAAAACAUGUUCUCAGUCUAACGAGAUACGCGUUUUGUGUGAAGCGAAACACCUGAGGCAAAGAAAAAUAGCAGGAAGAAACAAAGUGUUGUUUGUUCAAUUGAAAAGCAAAAUUUCCUCCAAUUGCGUGUGAUUCUGCAGUGAUCGAUUCAUUCAAUGCGGCAGUGUGUGAGGUAACGGUGGUUGUUGCUGUAUUUGUUGUUGUUUUGGCAAUUCGUGUUUAAAGUGUUCCAUUACUACUGCCGGCAGCUCUGCAAAACAACACAGGUGGUUGGUUCUCAAAUUUCAUCGUUUGGCGCAGUGUGAUGGUGAUUGUGGCGAUGAUGAUGAGGUUGUGCAACGACACUACUCUUGGGUGUGAUCGUGUUGCUUAGAGUGGCACUUAGGUGAGACAAAAUUUCCCGCAUUUUGAACGGUGUGUGAUAAUCAUGACGAUAUAAAUUCGCCCGGCCAUUAAAACAGCUUGCGAGUUUGCAGUGCGGCAGUUUGACACGAGUUGCUGACUCGGAAAAAACGUUCAUCGAAGAUCGCGAUAUACAGUUUAGCUUGCAAUCGAAUUCCGUUGCGGAUCGACGCGGUUCGAGUUUCGCGUCGACUUUUCGAAAUGACUACGAGGAUGGCUUUAACAGGCACCAAACCAACGAUAAGUGUUGUCUGCCGAACGCUUGCAGUUUUACUGCUGCUCGGUUUGGCGAUGGCGAACAAAACGAUGGACACACGGGAAGGUGAGGAUGUGAUCUUGAAGUGUCGCUUCAACGAGCACUACUCGGACCGGGAAUACUCUUACUAUUGGGCGCAGCAGUCACCAAAUAAGUACGACAAUGUUGCGAUCAAGGGUGACACCUUCAACCCCAACUACAAGAUUGAUUACCGACCUAAUCAGGGUAUUUACGAUCUGCAAAUCUUCAAUGUAUCGUACGCGCGCGAUAACGGCCGCUUCGAGUGUCGCAUCAAGCAGAUCGGCAGUGACAAUGCGAUCUACGAGGAUUACUACAAUCUGACGGUGCUUACGCCGCCACAGCCUCCGCUAAUAUUUCCGGGCAGCGAAACGACCGCCACGGAAGACAAAAAGCAGGAACUCACCUGUAGCAGUGUGGGUGGCUCCCCGGAUCCCACCAUUUCCUGGUACCGUGAAGGAAGUACAACACCAUUGGCCGCCAAUCUGAUAUAUGGGGGAUCGCGUGACAUGCAGACGACCAGCACAUUGACCAUUAUCCCACGUCGAGAGGAUGAUGGUGCGAAGUUUACGUGCGUCGUGUGGAACCGAGCAAUGCCGGAGAGCCAGCGGCUGGAAACGGUUACGACAUUGUCAGUGCGAUACUACCCGCGGGUGGAGAUUGGUCCAGAAAAUCCGUUGAGUGUCGAGCGUGAUCAAACGGCAAAGCUGGAAUGUAACAUUGAUGCCAAACCCAAACCCGAGCAGGUGAAGUGGACACGAAACGGGCGCUUCAUUUCGUCACAUCCAACGCACACGAUCCACCGGGUGUCGCUGCAGGAUGCCGGCCGCUACACCUGUUCGGCCGAUAACGGGUUGGAUAAGAUCGGUGAGCAGGAAAUCACCCUGAACGUCCUCUACCCGCCGAUUGUGCAAAUCGAAACCAAAGCCAAGACGGCCGAAGAGAAGGAAACCGUGCAUAUUAAGUGCAACGUUACCGCCAACCCACCGCCAGUGACCAUCGAGUGGCUGAAGGAGGGUGAUAUUGAUUUCCGGCGCAAUGGCGAUACGCUGGUGCUGCGAGACGUGCGUGCGGAAGACGCCGGGACGUACAUUUGCCGGGGUAUUAAUAUGAUGAAGCCGUACGGUGGGAAGACGCUGGAGCGUGAAGGCAAUGCUUCGGUAGCGCUGCUGGUGCGUCACCGCCCCGGGCAGGCCGUAAUUACGCCGGAAAAACCGGUUGUACACGUUGGCAAUAGUGUCAGCUUGAUGUGCAAAGCUGAUCCUCCCGGCUAUCCUGAUCCGCAGUACCGUUGGUACCGGGAUGUGGGCGGCGAGGUCUCGACGACGGUGAUUGCCCAGGGAGCGCAAUACCUGAUACCGAAGGCGGCACUUUCCAGCGAGGGCAAAUAUCACUGCCACGCAAGCAACGAGCUCGGUAACGGUGGGAUGGCAAGCGCUACGCUGGAAAUUCAUCAGCCACCGCAAUUUUUGGCCAAGCUGCAGUCGAACAUGAUUAAGCGCGCUGGCGAGGCAGAUUUCUUCGUAACGUGCAGUGCUAAAGGAAAACCGGAACCAUCGAUCACGUGGCUGAAGGACGACGUGGAGAUCACCCCGGAACUGCACCGUUAUGAGGUAAAGACGAACGUCGACAAGGGACCUAACGGUAUGGUGACCGUGCAGAGCAUGCUGAAGUUCACCGGAAAGGCACGCCCGAACGGAAACGAUCUCAUUUCCACCGACCGUGGCCAGUACACGUGUUUGUAUGAGAAUGAAGUGAACAAGGCAAACUCAACGAUGCACCUCAAGAUCGAACAUGAACCGAUAGUGCUGCACCAGUACAACAAGGUGGCGAACGAUAUCAAGGAAACGGCGGAAGUGCUGUGCAAGGUACAGUCGUACCCGAAGCCAGAAUUUUUGUGGCACUUUGGAACGACGCUGCUGAGCACGGGUGGACAUUACGAAAUCAUUACCAACUCGGACGGUAACGACGUGUACACAAGCAUCCUGAAGAUCAGCAAUGUGCGUCACCAGGACUAUGGCGAGUAUCAUUGCCGUGUGUCGAAUUCAUUGAACCACAUCCAAGUGCCAAUUCGGCUGCAACCGAAGGGCCCACCAGAGAAACCCAACAAGCUGAAAGCGGUCGAGCUAGGUUCGAACUAUGUCGUUCUGUCGUGGAAUCCCGGAUUCGACGGUGGUCUUGCAAACACGAAAUAUUUUGUCUCGUACCGCAAAAUAGUGAUCCCGAACGAAAGCUUGAUGACGGAAGAGUGUGCUGCGGUGGCCGCUAGCGGUGCUGAAUGGAUGGAGUACGACUGUCAGCGUGAGGUGCCGUGCACCAUCAGCCCGCUGGACCACCACCAGAGCUACGUUUUCAAGGUGAAAGCACUGAACACUAAGGGCGUCUCGGAGCAUUCGAACGAAAUCAGUGCAACGACGAAGGUGGAAAAGAUACCGAUUCCACUGAUGGCUAAUUUUGAUCCCGAGACGAAGAUCCUGGGCCUAAACAUUGGUGCAACUUGUCUAUCGAUGGUGGCGAUCGUUGAAUCGGUUAUGUACGGCGAUACCCCGAUGGCUGCCUGGCACAUCAUCGAGAAGGUGGACCUGCAGGUGAACGGUCACGAUCCAACGUACCGUGAGCACGAGAUAAAGCAUUUUGUCGCAAAUCGACGUAACAAUGGACGCUCGCUGGGCAAUACAUUGGACGAAAUUCCCAUUCCGAUCGAAGACGAAUUGAACCCGCGAGUGCGGGUAAAGCUGUGUCUGAAAAUCAAUCACGAAUACUGUGGUGAAUAUCUGGAAGCUGACAUUGGACAAUCUCUGAUCCAGGAAGCAUCUUUUGUCGAGCUACCAACAUUGAUAGCGAUUUUGGUGUGCAGCGUUGUUGCCGCCCUGUCCGCCGUGUUGUUGGUGAUGUUCUGCCGUUGCAGGCGCAACCAAAAGAAGGAAUCGGUAAAGUCAAAGGAGUACGAUAUUGAUUCGAUCCAUCCGUCGAUUGUGGCCCAACAAAACCAAGCUCCGCCACCGUACUAUUCGGCCAGCAGCCUGGAAAAUAAGGCCCUCGAGCAUUCGAUGGAUUUGGCAAUGGAUCAAAACACGGCCCUGUAUGCAAGCCAGCAGCCAACGUACGGCUACCACCAGCAGAAUGCAAUGAUUCCGCAAGUACCGCAAAAUGAUUGGUCAAACAUGGGCUACGUAGAGAAUUCGUACUCCAAUUCCAACAACGGUGGAAGCGUCAACUCACAGGAUUCUAUCUGGCAGCUGAAAAUGUCGGCUGCUGCCUCGAACUCGGCCAACAUGAUCCCGCAGCACAAUUACAUGGACCAACAGAUGCAGCAAAACUACGGCUAUGACCCAAUGACCCACGGGGGAUACGGUGCCGUUGACGAUUACGCUCCCUACCCGCAUCUGAUGACCACAGCCAGUCAGCACGGCGGAGAUGACUACCAUCACAACAUGCGCAACAGCCAGAAUCCAUCGCGCCAGGACUACUGCAGCGAUCCGUACGCGUCCGUUCACAAGCCCAAGAAACGCAUGGAUCAGCAUAUGGACUUUGUCGCUGAAUCUCCGUACCACGAUGUGAGCGGGCUGCCGGAUCCGUACAUGGAGCAGGAGGAGGCAAAGUCUCCCGUGCAGAAUCAGCAUCUCUCGAUGAGCUACGACGAUGCGCUGGCAAUGGAAAGCGGUUACUCGACACCAAACUCCCGCAAUCGCCGUGUCAUUCACGAGAUUGUGGUGUAAGCGAACGGCCGUCAAAGAUAGUGGCCGAUUGUCGCCAUGGUACAACGAAACAACGAGUUUGAAACUAAACGACAACGAAACGAAUGAUGGAAAAUAGCAUAAUAUACGCACUGAAUUGGACGAAUCAAAAUUAUGAGACAAUCAUCUUUGCCCGGAGCAUGCUUAAAACGGACGACAAUUGCAGAGGGAAACAACAACCAACCAGCCACUGCACGCUGCUAGAAGCGCUGUCGAACCGUAGUUCAAAUUAAAUUACCUUUUCCUUCUAAAUUAUUUGUUUUAAUUGAAACAUUGAAAUUGUUGCAAAUGUUCACCUUCGACACCGGAUGGACGGCCAUGUAGUGCUGCUGAGUCAGAACUACAAGGAGCGAAAUAUGUUGAUCUCAAAAUAUAGCUCCUUGCAGAGAUGGCAACAUAUGGUGUUACAUUUGUGGAUGAUGGUGCAACUUAAAACUGUGAUUGUAUAUAUAGAUAACUAUAGUACGCGUAGAGCAAUGGUUUUAUGACAAGAAAGCGCAAAACAUGGUCGACAAGUAGCAAUAGCAGCACAUGUAUGAGAGGACGCUGCUAUCGGUUUAAGAUAAAGUGUAUCGAAAGCAAUCGGGUGUUACGAUCGAGAUUACGUAUCGUAUCCGGGAUCGAAUAUUAUCCAAUAUUAAAGUAAGUGUUUGGAUUAAGUAAUCGCGAAACGGGCACCAUUCUUAAAUGGUUAAGCCACACGCAGCCAGGUGCGCGUCACUGAAUCGGGGGUCAAGAACCGAAUGUGCCAUUAGCUUGUAGUAGGUAUUCCUGCCAAUAGUUCUUUUCCCGUCUGUCCGAUUGCAGCGUGUGGGCACCUGGUGCGGAUUCCAAAUUGCGGCACGAUUAGAUAGUAACGCCACAAUCUAACACUCCUCCUUCGUGAUUGUCGCUGUGCAUUAGCUGCGUAAAGGGUCCGUUCGUAAAGGAGGAGCGUUCGAGUGACUUAAUCAUCUUAUCACGGAACUAUGUCUUUUAGUGUAUCCGUUUGGCGGUGCCAUUGUUCGAUCGUUUCGUGCCAAGUCUUCCCUCUAGUUCUAGCGCAGCAUGAAGGAAGAAUGCAUUCCAUGUUUUGUUUUAAAUAAACUUAUUCGUGCUUAAUAAUAAAAAAACAACAGAACGCUGUGUACAGCUUCGUCAAAUGCAAACAAUCACCACAUACACACACAUAAACCUAUGAUGAUGCGUCGAAAUGUUUGUGAACGUUGUUGAGCUGGAAAGUGUUGGUUGUAGGUAGUUUAAAGUAUAAUUAAUUGAGCCUGACCCGUGCGUUGUCUUGCGAUGGUCGGCCGUUUUAUUUUUUUUCUUUCUUCCGGUGUCUCUCAUUUGAUAAAGUUCCAUUUUAUCGGCUUCGUCGUGUUGAAAGCGGGUUGCUCCUCAUUCGCAUAAAGCGUCUUCAAUGCUGAGUUUGAAAUAAUACGCACGAAGAAGCAAAAACAUUAGCGCAAAACAUUGACCGUACUGCCGCUGCUCAGUGUGUACAUAAGCGAAAGAUGAACAAUAAGUAAAACAGGAACAAAACAACCGUGCACAGCGUUUUAAAAACAACAGCUUAAACUUAAAAGUCCCGACUUGGUUUGUAUAGGAACCGUAAGCAAAAGGUGUAGUAAUCGUGUACUCGUAAGCUGAAAUUAUGUAUUAAAAAGUGCUUUUGCUUUUGUGUUGUUGCAGUGUGAAACUGUAACGAAAGUGUGUUUAUUAUUGUAAAGAACAGAAAGCAGCAGUCUGUGCUAGCAAGAAGGAAGGAAUAGUAGGGGAUUUAAUAAGCGUUCCGAGGGCGUUACGUUACUAGCCCGCUUGCACACGCCUCAGCAGUGGGUUGGUGGGUGGGUAGGUAACGGUGAGAAUAAAUCACACCAGCAACUAAAAUGGCAACAAAAAGUAGUUAAACAAGUAGGAGGAAAGGAAAGCAGCAGGAAAAUGGAUGAAGUUUCUUAAUUUUCGCAAACGCUUUCUUCGAAUGGACCACGCUUCUCUGGUUGGAGCGCUUUCACCGAUCAGCGCUACUUAAUAACUGAAGCGAGACAGAAUCCUUUUGCCUGCCUCGAAACGUAGGACGAGAAGACAUCAUUGCAAAAAAAAAAAAACAAAGCAAAAGUGUCUCGAAAGUGAGAAAGAACAAGACCGGCGGUAUAGCUCUGAUUACACAGGCGAGCAAAAAAAAAAAAAAAAGAGAUACACAACGUCGUCGUGCGUUUAAGGAUGAAAAAAUCGCAUUCGAAGUAGUAGUGAUUGACGAUAAAUAUGCUUUUCCGCUUUUCUACACCCUUCCCGAGCGGCAACAGUUUGGCGUUUACAAGUUUGACUGCCUUGUUGAAGCGCGCUGUGCGACAUUAGUGUUAAGUGAUGAGGAAAUUUGUUUCCCCGUCGCAAAAACCAGCAGCUGCGCAAGGAAUUGAUGCGGCGGGAGAAACCUCCGGACGGUUGAGACCCCUCUCGAAUCCCGACUAGUAAUGGGCGAUAGGGCAUAUACAUAAACUAGAGAGUGAAAGAGUACGCGCAAACAAGCUAGCGGGAUUCUUCAUUUCUUUACAAACGCGCGUGCAUUUGGCCCGGACCUCGAGCGGCCACGGCGAGUCCCUUUGCACAUUACUCCAAUGGCAAGUAGAGCAGUCGCUAGCGUAUUUUGCAUACUUGUUCCGUCCACCGAGAGAUGUUUCUAAUUGCUGUAAAUAUUGACUGAGAAAAGUAGAAGUAUUUUACUUAUAAGCAGUAGAGCAUUAAGGCACUUUUCUAUAUAAACGCGUUAGCCCGAGAUACAAUUCGUAGCUUAGUUUUGUUAAAGGUUAGUCUAGUGGUAAGCUUCUUUCUGGCGCAAAAUAAAUAUUUUAUUUUAUCUUUUUAAAA